CCACCCUCCGCCUCCUCCCGCUUCCAAAGUCUGCGGAGCUCGGAGGACCUCCAGUUCGCCGGCUUCCUCCCUCAGAUCCACACAGUCGCAGGCCGGGAUCGCCCCUUCACGCAUCCAAAUGGGUGUAUCUCGCGAUCCAAAAGAAAGAGCAUGCGUUGGCUCUGCGAGCUCUAGAAGCAGCGGAGGAGCCGAAUUUCGCGGAGGUAGCGGAAGUUCUGAUGCCUUGACUCCAGAUGCCGCUACCCCUCUCUCCGAUUCACCGCCAUCGCCGGGGUCAUAGAACAACAGGGCAUGCAAUAUCGAAGCAGAAGAGUUGGAGACGGACAUUCCACCUGUUAUCUCUUCUGAAGCGCCGGCAUCACCGCAUACAUUUGAGAAUAGGUCAUACGAUAACCAGGAGGAACAACUGAUGCCUGAGGAUUUCCAUGUUCGCGGAUCAGAAUCGCCCGAGUCGACACAUCUAUGGAAGAGGAGGUUUGUUGUAUUAUUUGUUUUUAAGUGUAUCGUUCAUGCUGGUCCUAUACGUGUGGCAGCUUUUUUUCAUACAUGUUUAGUUUUCAGGAUGAAUAGAUAGACAGGUAGUGCUCUAUUGUAAGCAUCCCAGUAGGGCUGGUUGCGAUACUGGGUUCGCCUUAUUUUUAAGUACUAAGUUGAAUAGUCAGUUGUAGAACAAUGGAUAGUCAAACAUUCCGUUAUUAAAAUCAAGUUAAUAACUGAUCGAGUUCUCCUCGGAGAAGCAAGAUAGCAUCUAAGAGCUAAAAUGCUUAUGAUAUUUUUGAGCAAAUAGAUGCAGCCUAAUAGUACCUUUGCAAAAAUAUGGCCCGUUGUUGUUUUGAGUCUCCCCGCUGCCGCCGCCUCGAUCCUACACGUCGUGGGCCUCCAAGAGCCAGCACGCGACGCCUCCUCGUGAGUCUGCCCGCUGCUAUGUACCGCAACCCGCUGACCUGAUCAGAGACCACGGCGGCUGAUGGUAAAUGUUUCCGCUCCGUUGACAAGCUCCGCCGAUGCCUCUGAUGACAACAAAUUCGUUCUCCCAGCAUGAAGGACGAGAUAAUCCGCAGUACCUAAACAACUAGAUAGCCUGUGGCGGUCUGGGAGGCGCCUCCUUGCACCAGCACCUCGAAGCAAAUGCCUCAAGCUCCUUCCCGAUGGUAGCCCCAUCCAGAGCACCACGCAUCAUUAUUGGAAAAAACUACUGAUACUAUUUAUCGUCGUUUCUUUUGUUGAUUCAAUGGCUGACGGAAAUAGUGAUUAUUUCUAGCACAGGUUGAUAAAUGGAGCACGGUGGCUCUGCCAAUCCCCCAUUAGGUUUCACUCUCAUUUGCCAUUGUGAUGAUUCCAUUUUGUUUCCGGAGAUUUUCCUUGAUCAGCGAUGUUUCUUUAUUCUCUUGCUUCUUAUUAUUGUGACUAGGUUUACUUUGAAUCAACUGAAACUUGUUGAUCAUGAAUAGGCAAUGGUUGGUCAUCUAUCGUAUUGUGCACUCAUUAAAUCAGUAUCAACUUGCAGUACUAGGAUGGUAAUAUUAGUAUUUCAGUUUUAUUCUGUUCUAGAAGAAUGGAGAUUUUUAUUCUUGUCGCGAUCGGUUUGAGCGGGGUGUGCUCCGCCUGGUCAUCGACGAGUACUGGUUGCCAUGGACUGGUCAGAGGUGAGCGGUGAGCGGUGUGCAUGUGUAUUUUUUUGUUGCCGUAAUUCUUCUCUGGAAUUGGUCUAUGCAAUCCUUCAAAUUGCAUGCCUAGAAGAAAUGUACCGAGAGCUUGGUGAUGGGUGUUCAUUACCGAGGAAAAAUGAUCCGUCCAAUUAUAUAGAGCUACACAGCAGGUACUAUCUAGAAAAGCUCAUUGGGAGUCCAGAGCGGAGGUACCGAGUUAACCAGUAAACUUUUGAAGUCUUUUUACAUAGUUAUUAGUAUAGACUACUGGAAUCUUUUUAAAUAGUUAUUAGUAUAGACAGAAGUUUAUCUUACAGUGUCCGCUUGCUCUGUUUUUCUCCAUGGAACAGGUUUACAGAUGUACUUUAUGACAUGUCAAAGAGGUCCAAGAGCCUUUGUUGAAAUAGCAUGCCAACUGAUAUCUAUACUCAGGAGCAAUAGGAGUCAUUCCCAAUACCUUUUGAACUCUUGGAAGUUGUCACAAAUAGAACUAAAAAAUCCCAGGACAAAAGUAAAGAAUCUGAGCCCAUUAAGAUUUCAAACUAGAAUUAGCUUAUUUGGACUAGAAUUUGCAAUUUGCUGCUAAUUCAGUUUCAUAUUUUUAUGGUACUUGUGAAGGAUAUAAAAUAUAUAUGUAGAACUUAAUUAAAAUUUAUAUAUUAUUAAUUUCCAGACCCAUCUAGCGCAACUGUUUCAAGGCAAAAAAAUAUUGUCACUUUCUUAUCUCAUAAAAUGUCAGUGUGGUUUGGUGACUGAGUUUGAGUGCUUAGCCAUCAUACUGUUGUUCAUUGUUUCACAUUUGGAUGGUUCAUGUGGAGUAAGGAGUUUUUAUUCUCAGGUUGGUCCUGCCAGAACAUUGACAAGACUGAAUUUUGAAGAGCAUUGUUUGUUAUAUUUGUCACUUGGUUGAUCAUCACUUCCGUUUAUAAGACUCUUUUGCUCUCUGUAAUUGGUUAAUUAUGAUUUAUAUGAUUUAUUUUUCUUUCAUAUAUACGAUGAUGAAUUGACGAAGUGUCUGGCAAGGGGGUAUAUUUUUGAGUCACUUCUCGCACAACUCUACUGAUGUGCUUCUCAGAACCUAAAUUUAGUAGGGCGCCAGAGAGGCCUAAGAUUUCAUAGGUUCAGCUAUUAUCUAGCAAUAAAACUGUUGUAGCAAUCAGUGUCAACUACCAGUUAGGCAUUUUGAGGAUGAGCACCAGUCAGAACCAGUAAUGCAAAUUAUGAACCAUCACGUAUUUUAGGUUUUCUUGGAAAUUAGAUCCGAUGUAUCUGGAGUUGAAUGAAAUAAGAUGUUAAUGGAUAGCUUCUGAAUUCUUUAUGCAUUUGUGUCUUCAAAGUAACAAAUAAACGGAUAUAGGUGAAUCCUGCAGUUUUUCCAUUCACACAGUCCAACAUGCAAAUAAAAGCAGUAUGAAUCUGUUCAGUUAAUUAAUUUUCCAUAUAUAAGUAGAACUGCCACUUUGGAGUAAUAGUAUUUUGAAACUUGAAUAUAGUUCUGUACAGAUUUUCACUUCACGUGCUGGAAGCAUUCAGCUGUUCAUCUAAACCUGAAUUUAUGCUCUGUAGUGUCUCUCCUAUUAUAGCAUCUAUGUUGAUACCAAAGGAUUGAUGAUAGGCUUGCAGUGAAUUUCAAAAUCACUAUACUGUUUGAAAAGUUUAAAUGCAAUGUACUCCACUCCUAACUGAAACUCUUGUUUAAGUUGACUGAAGGAUGUUAGAACUCUUGUUUAAGGAUGGCUUCUGUGCAGUACCCGAGUCAUAAUUUUGCAAAAUUAGUUUUCUGAAUUUGUCUGAACCCUAUCUGUAGCAACCCUGUUAAAGAUAAAUGCUAUAGUCAGCUAACUUUUAUCCAUGCAAUUUUUAAUAAAGAAAAUAAAAAGAAUAACCAGGGAAAAGAUACUGAAAAUGUUUGCAUCAUGUGGUAAAUUUGUGUAUUAUUACCAUGAUCAUGUUUUUGCGAAUAGUCCAAGUAGACUUUAUACUCCUUUUCAUGGAAUUCAUUUUCCCUGGAACUGAUUUUCAUCUGGCUGCUGUUUCAGAACCCAGGAGCAUGCUUAAGUGCAAUGGCUCACAUUAACAUACUCGAAAGCUCCGUCCUUGUGCAUGACAAUGGAGAUGAUCUGCUGAAAGCUGAUGGCUCUGAAAACUGAUGGCUCUCUGUUAUGGACAACCAUCUGUCUACCUGGCGGUUUCCUCAAAAUGAUAUGGCCAUUGCCGCACCAAAUUAUCCAUGUGCAUGCCUACGUUAAGAUUUAUGCUCCAGUAUUAUUUACUAUCUCUCUCUCCGCCAACAUUAUUCUUAACUUUCUUUUAUUGCUUGGAAUCCCAGUGACGUACAUCCAGUUCAGUCCUGUCAAUUAGAAGUGGGUUGAUGUAUUGUCCAAAUUGCAUGUCGAUGAUGAGUGGGCAGAGGAGUAACACAUGCUGAAAAUUCGAAUGGCUAACGGUGGCCAUGAAGCCCAUGAGGCAUGAGUGGUUUGGGACGUCGAUGGCGGCCGUGCAGCCGGUGUGGCAGAGGAGGAUAUUGAUGGGGAUGCGGUGUGAGCUGCCGCGGUUCAGCGGGCUCAUACUGUACGAUGAGCAAGGCCGAAGCCUCCACCUCGGCACUCCAGGCAGAAGAAACCAUCUCCAGUGAUGUUGUAGGGUUGUUUGGCUGCAGCCGGAGACGAACAUUGCGGAGGCGAGCAUCAAAAAUUUGUCGGCGCCAGGAGCGGAGCUGUGUGUGCUGGAGAUCGAGGGGAUACUAGCGUCCUGGGCAGCGAUGAAGAAGAUCGAGAAGCAACUCCUAGGUGCUCCUGGGCAGCGAGGAAGAGGAUCGAGCGGAGUUGUGCGUGCUGGCGACUAGGGAUCGAGAGGACCAAGGGAUUGAUGGUAGGGACGACCUGGGGAGGAGGAGAAGCAGCUCCCAGGUGUGGAAGCUAGGAAGAGCACUGGCGACCUAGGGAGGGCGAGAAGCAGCGACGGCUUGGGGAGUCCUUUUCAGUGCUCCCUCCCUUAGCGAGGGAUCGUGGAGGCCUGGGCGGUGGAGUCACCGGUGGAGGCGGAGGGCGAUCGAAAUCUAGGAAGAGCGAUUCUAAAUCUAGGAAGAUACCGAUACAAAAUCUAGGUGUGAGAUUUACUGCGGAAGAGUAGCAAAAAAACCUAAAACUUGGAACCACGCAGAUGUAUAAUAAUGUUGUUUUGUUACUACUGUCGGUAUUAUCAUGUUUUAGUACAUUAUGAUAUUUCUGAUUUUUUUUAAACUUU